GGUGGAGUUACCCAGAGCCUUUAUGUCACUAGACGACAUUCACCAAAUCACAGCAGAGCUGAAACUUUGGCCCAGGUCAAAUAAUACUUCCUUGUGUGGGGUUAUGUGAAAAGUGCAACCGGAAUCCAUUACCCAUGCAUUUUUGGAGUCCUGCAAACUCACCGUGAGGACCAGAGGUUGCUUCCCCUCUGUUGCAACGUUUGCCGAAGAAUCUCCAUUCUUCUUCUGGCCUUUACUCGGGCAUUCUCUUUUCCAAUGCCCCUCUUUCCCACAGAUGAAACAGCCCUUCUGAUGAAGACUUUCCCUUACCUAGGAGUCCCUUUUGCC